UAGGGGGUUGGUGGUGGUGAGGACGGCGCCGAGGGACAUGACGGCGAGGGAGACGACGGGGAAGUGGAUGGAGUUGGGGGAGAGGAGGAGGACGACCUGGCCCUUGCGGACAGAGAGGCGGGAGGAGAGGGCGGAGGCGAGGGCAGAGACGGAGCGCCAGAGAGUGGGGAAGGAGACGCGGCGGCCGGAGGCGGCGUCGAUGAGGGCAGUGGUGCCGGAGUGGCGGCGGGAGGAGAGGAAGGUGGUGACGUCGAGGUGGGGGUCGGAGGGGAGGGGGACGGGCUUGCGCUUGCUGUAGAAUAUGGAGUUGGAGGGGCAGAAGCCGCUCCAAGGGUCUACCGGUAAUCCGUCCGUUCGAUAUGCCAUCGCCGGAAGCUGUUGAGUUCCCCCACACUGCUCAAGUGGGGUGGGGAGG
rnacentral:lncRNA from 1 species